rnacentral:rRNA from 1 species
AUUGAACGCUGGCGGCAGGCCUAACACAUGCAAGUCGAGCGGAUGAAGGGAGCUUGCUCCUGGAUUCAGCGGCGGACGGGUGAGUAAUGCCUAGGAAUCUGCCUGGUAGUGGGGGACAACGUUUCGAAAGGAACGCUAAUACCGCAUACGUCCUACGGGAGAAAGCAGGGGACCUUCGGGCCUUGCGCUAUCAGAUGAGCCUAGGUCGGAUUAGCUAGUUGGUGAGGUAAUGGCUCACCAAGGCGACGAUCCGUAACUGGUCUGAGAGGAUGAUCAGUCACGCUGGAACUGAGGCACGGUGAGGACUCCUACGGGAGGCAGCAGUGGGGAAUAUUGGACAAUGGGCGAAAGCCUGAUCCAGCCAUGCCGCGUGUGUGAAGAAGGUCUUCGGAUUGUAAAGCACUUUAAGUUGGGAGGAAGGGUUGUAGAUUAAUACUCUGCAAUUUUGACGUUACCGACAGAAUAAGCACCGGCUAACUCUGUGCCAGCCGCCGCGGUAAAAC